rnacentral:lncRNA from 1 species
CCUUUUUAAUUUAGUUGUUAGAAUGCGACUUUUGUGAAAUUGCGUGGGUUAUUUGGAUUCAGCGGAAGGAAAAAAGAAACACUCCAUACAAUUAGUAUUGACAAUGAACAAGAAACUCUAGUGUUUUCAAGCGGUUGACCGUCCUAAUUAAUUACGGUUUUUACACUCAAUUACUUUUCUUAAUUAUAUUUGCAAAAAAUAAUACUACUAUAUUAGUAGUACUUUUCUU